rnacentral:rRNA from 1 species
CUACGGGAUGCAGCAGUGGGGAAUAUUGCACAAUAGAGGAAACUCUGAUGCAGCAACGCCGCGUGGAGGAUGACACUUUUCGGAGCGUAAACUCCUUUUAUAUAGGAAGAAGAUGACGGUACUAUAUGAAUAAGCGCCGGCUAACUCCGUGCCAGCAGCCGCGGUACUACGGAGGGCGCAAGCGUUACUCGGAAUCACUGGGCGUAAAGAGCGUGUAGGCGGAUUAAAAAGUCAGAAGUGAAAUCCUAUAGCUUAACUAUAGAACUGCUUCUGAAACUCUUAAUCUAGAAUAUGGGAGAGGUAGAUGGAAUUUCUGGUGUAGGGGUAAAAUCCGUAGAGAUCAGAAGGAAUACCGAUUGCGAAGGCGAUCUACUAGAACAUUAUUGACGCUGAGACGCGAAAGCGUGGGGAGCAAACAGGAUUAGAUACCCGCGUAGUC